rnacentral:tRNA from 1 species
GGCUCAGUGGCGAAAUGGGAACGCGUCCCCCUUGCAACGGUGAUAUGAAUCGGUUCGAUUCCGGUCUGAGCCUCCA